rnacentral:lncRNA from 1 species
AUCGUCAAUGAUCAUUGUUGAAAUGAAACCUUGCAAGUGUUUCUUUGAUUAACAAGAAUAUUUACCAAGCCAUAGUGAAUACAGAAACGAUCAGAAAGUGAUUCAACAGCACCAAAAGCCCAACAAGAACCGCAAUGUCCCUGAAAUAUAUAGGAUAAGACCAGUAAAGAACCUGGAAAGGACAUCUAGCAUUAUUUUUAAGAGGACGAAGGAAAAGAGAGAGAUUAGUUAGCAAGCAAGAGCCGUCACCUGAUCUGCAAUGUAAAAUAUGGAAAACAUCAGCAUUCUUCUAAUUCAGAAUAUAUCAUUGAAGGACCAAACGAUAAGAUGCAGGAACUGACCAAGAAUUCUUCCAAUUGUGCGGCAUUGAGGCCAAGCCUUUCGUGCAUCAAACUCUUUUGGCAACUCCUUGAACUUUGGAUGAGUUAGAACAGGAAUUCCCUCCAAAUCACCUUCUCUUGGGGGCUUAACUCCGAGUAGG